rnacentral:rRNA from 1 species
GUGAGGAAUAUUGGUCAAUGGGCGGGAGCCUGAACCAGCCAAGUCGCGUGAAGGAAGAAGGAUCUAUGGUUCGUAAACUUCUUUUGCAGGGGAAUAAAGUGCAGGACGUGUCCUGUUUUGUAUGUACCCUGAGAAUAAGGAUCGGCUAACUCCGUGCCAGCAGCCGCGGUAAUACGGAGGAUCCGAGCGUUAUCCGGAUUUAUUGGGUUUAAAGGGUGCGUAGGUGGUUUGAUAAGUCAGCGGUGAAAGUUUGCAGCUUAACUGUAAAAAUGCCGGUGGAACUGUCGGACGUGAGUGUAUAUGAGGUAGGCGGAAUGCGUGGUGUAGCGGUGAAAUGCAUAGAUAUCACGCAGAACUCCGAUUGCGAAGGCAGCUUACUAAGCUACAACUGACACUGAAGCACGAAAGCGUGGGGAUCAAACAGGAUUAGAUACCCGGGUAGUCC